CGGGCGACAUGGGCGAGCAGUGCCCGGGCGUCGGCCGCCCAGCCGUCGAGGGGCCACAACGCGGCGGCCGGUUCGGGCCCGGGGCGUUCGA
rnacentral:tRNA from 1 species